GUCCCUGAGGGCCUCGUAGAGCUCCUGCGCCACGCCGACGAGGAAAUGGUCGGCACCGUGCCGCGCGAGCAGCGAGAACGACACCGGGACGCCAUUGCGUAUUCCCAGUGGAAUGCUGAUCUGGCAGAACCCUGACAGGCCGGCGAUGGAGAGCAGGGAGAAGGCCUUCGCCCGGAAAUCCUCCAGCAUUGCCGCUUCCAUGCGCAGCCUGGGCGGCGCGUCGGGGACAGUAGGGAUCACCAGGAUGCCGUCGUCCUACAAAUCGAUACGAACUUCGUUCAAGCAUAGCAAAACAGAAAGAUGAAUUCUUUUGAGCAGUUGCAUGAUUGAUGGGUUGGUUUGUUUACCUCUAGGGAGCGGCGAGGGCGGACCUGAAUUCGGUUCUCACGGUGUGAAGAUCCUCCAUGGCUGGAUCAUCUGCCGAGGCGGCGGCCUCUUGCACCCAUUCCCGGAUGCCAGGGCCGAGGUUGGGCUUUACUGUAUUUAUCCACUCUGCGUAGUUAGCUUUGAAUUCAGACCUGAAAAAUAAGUGGUACAUCUUCACAACAGAGAUGACACUCAUGCAUGUGCCAUGAUCGAGUUCAUAGAUCUGACUGAAUUCGAAAAUGCGACAUGGUGUGCAUCCAGCUAAAGGGCUAAGAACUUGUUCGUACAAUACAUUUGCUUGAUUAAUGUCGGUAGUAGGUAUAAGAGGCAAUUGAAUCCAAGAAACCUUAGAAGCACUGGCAUGACGUGCGAGAUGGCAGACAUAGCCGGCACACCAGAUGAUGCAGACAAGCUGACGACGAUGAACUUGCCGAUGCUCGGAACGUUGUUGGACAUGAAAUCACCAAGAUCUCCAUUGUCUACUACAUCACCUGUCAGUUAUGUAGCUGGAAAGUGCAAUUGUCCAGAGAGGAGCUCAGGAUCCGUAAACAGUCUGCCUGUUCCAAAUUCAGUUGAUCAUGUCCUGCUCCAGCAUGUGCAUAUCCUAGGAAUUUGGGUGCUGGCAGAAGGUGGCUCUCUCCUCCGCCUCCUCUUCUUCGGGCACUGGCGAUGGAGGGUAGACGGCCAAGGAGCUCGGGAACCUCGCGCUGUUCCUCGCCUACAUGGCGCCUUCUACCUGGAUUAGAUUGGGGGCCUGCACACGCUGCCCUUGGGGUUACAGAUGCGCAAUGUACCAUUGACACCUUCUGCGACUCCCCGGCUUCCCAUGUACCCUCUCAUGGCUUCUCUUGGGCCGCAACUUUUCUGUGGGCAAGCUACACCUGGUAUGACGACCCCUCAGGACUGAUCCAACACUGAAGACUAUGCAAAUUAUUUUUUGUGGAAUACUAUUUUGAAGCAGUACUGUAGAAGGCUAUGGAAUUGGCACUAUGUUGCCAUCUCUUCAGGCAACAAGUGCAUGUCUCAAGGAUAGUUAUGAUCCUUGCAUUAAUGCUUGUAUUGCAUCAAAGAAAGGUAGAUGAUUCACAUGUUUCGGUUAUGCAAGUUAGCUUGCGUGGAUUUGUGAUUACUGGCCUUUAGAAACAUGUAAGUGCUGCGAGUUCAGCUCAAUUAUGUUAUGUUCUGUAAAGUGAAGCUGCAGUUCAGUUUUGUGAACCGUGAGUUCAUUUUAGUUCUGUAAGUUAAUUACCAACAAUGCAGUUCGGUUCUGUAGUUACACUUGUGAGUGCUGGGACAAUGAUUGCUAGAAUUGUUACUUACUGAUUUUUUUGGUAAAUGCUGUAAUGAAUUGCGUACUUAAAAGAGUGCCUUAUUUUAAUAUCUAAGCACUUUUAAGUACUGCCUUUAUUUGCAUUUGCAGGCUCUUUUCAAGAAUGCUUGAAAUUCUAAUCAAAGGCAUUUCAGAAAAGUGCCUCAAAAAAUAAAUAAAGGCAUUACUAAAAACUGGCCCAAACUGAAAUCAAUUGCACUUUACAAAAGUGCCUCAAAAUCAAAAUAGAGGCAGUGUUUAAAACGCCUGCAUACAAUUUUUGAGGCAGUGCUG